AGCAGCCGCGGUAAUUCCAGCUCCAAUAGCGUAUAUUAAAGUUGUUGCAGUUAAAAGCUCGUAGUUGAAUUUCGGGAUCAAUAUGUUGGUCGUGCCUUGGUACGUACUGGCAUUAUUGGUUCCUACCUUCUGAAGAACCUCGAUGUCAUUAAUUUGGUGUCUUGGGGAAUCAGGACUGUUACUUUGAAAAAUUAGAGUGUUUAAAGCAAGCUAACGCUUGAAUACAUUAGCAUGGAAUAAUGAAAUAGGACGUUCGAUCCUAUUUGUUGGUUCUAGGAUUGACGUAAUGAUUAAUAGGGAUAGUUGGGGCAUUAGUAUUCAAUUGUCAGA
rnacentral:rRNA from 1 species